rnacentral:rRNA from 1 species
GACGAACGCUGGCGGCGUGCUUAACACAUGCAAGUCGAACGGAAAGGCCCUGCUUUUGUGGGGUGCUCGAGUGGCGAACGGGUGAGUAACACGUGAGUAACCUGCCCUUGACUUUGGGAUAACUUCAGGAAACUGGGGCUAAUACCGGAUAGGAGCUCCUGCUGCAUGGUGGGGGUUGGAAAGUUUCGGCGGUUGGGGAUGGACUCGCGGCUUAUCAGCUUGUUGGUGGGGUAGUGGCUUACCAAGGCUUUGACGGGUAGCCGGCCUGAGAGGGUGACCGGCCACAUUGGGACUGAGAUACGGCCCAGGCUCCUACGGGAGGCAGGAGGGGGGAAUAUUGCACAAGGGGCGGAAGCCUGAGGCAGCAACGCCGGGUGCGGGAGGACGGCCUUCGGGUUGUAACCCGCUUUCGCCUGUGACGAAGGGUGAGUGACGGUAAUGGGUAAAGAAACACCGGCUAACUACGG